UUUAAUCCCAGCACACUAGAGAAAGGGGCAAAUGGAUCUCUGUGAGUUCAAGGCCAGCCUGGUCUAAGAGUGAGUUGGGGUGGGGAGGCAAAGAAAAGAGAAGGAAACAUAAUGGGGGUGAAGAACUGGGGUGAGGGAAUACUUCUCUUUCCAGCUUCCCUUUGUAUUAGAAUUAUGCAAGAAUUGCUAGAACUUUGCUUCAACAGUUGCUAAGCACCUGAAAUAGUGAGCCUUGGAGUUAGUCACAAUAGAGCAGUGGUGCUCUGGUACUGGUUGACAGAUGUACAUAAUUAUCAUAUGGUGUUGUUCCUAAACAAUGUAUAUGAUCCAAGAAGAUCCUGAAACAUUUUAGUGUUGAUUUUCUUACCCGAGGCCACUGAGACUCAGAGAAGGAAGAAGGGAAGGGUUAAGCCCUCUAGAGGUUUUAGACCGGAUUUUGAUACAGUAGACCAGGCGGACCUAAAGCUCCUAUUCGUCCUCUUUCUCAGCUUUCCCAGGGUUUGAGCCCGCCAUGCCCAGCUCAGUCUGAGUUUUCUGUUCACCGAUCCUUUAACUUUUAAUAAACUUUUAAAGAAACUUCUAAUUUCUACUUAAAAAGCCUACUUUUCCAUAAUU
rnacentral:lncRNA from 1 species